GUCGGAGUGGCGGAAUUGGCAGACGCGCCAGCUUGAGGGGCUGGUGUCCGCAAGGACGUGGGGGUUCAAGUCCCCCCUCCGACACCA
rnacentral:tRNA from 1 species